UACGAAGGGGGCUAACGUUGUUCGGAAUUACUGGGCGUAAAGCGUGUGUAGGCGGUCCACUAAGUCGGGUGUGAAAGCCCUGGGCUCAACCCAGGAAGUGCACUCGAAACUGGCGGGCUAGAGUAUCGGAGAGGUUGGUGGAAUUCUCGGUGUAGAGGUGAAAUUCGUAGAUAUCGAGAGGAACACCGGUGGCGAAGGCGGCCAACUGGACGAAUACUGACGCUGAGACACGAAAGCGUGGGGAGCAAACAGG
rnacentral:rRNA from 1 species